rnacentral:rRNA from 1 species
UGCCAGCAGCCGCGGUAACACGUAUGGUGCAAACGUUGUUCGGAAUCACUGGGCCUAAAGAGCGCGUAGGCGGUUUGGUAAGUUAGGUGUGAAAUCCCUCGGCUCAACCGGGGAACGGCACCUAAUACUGCCUGACUAGAGUGCAGGAGGGGAGAGUGGAAUUCCUGGUGGAGCGGUGAAAUGCGUAGAUAUCAGGAGGAACGCCGGUGGCGAAAGCGACUCUCUGGCCUGCUACUGACGCUGAGGAGCGAAAGAUAGGGGAGCAAACGGGAUUAGAUA